rnacentral:lncRNA from 1 species
GCCACCACGCUAGGCUUUUUUGUAUUUUUAGUAGAGACGGGGUUUCACCGUGUUAGCCAGGAUGGUCUCGAUUUCCUGACCUCGUGAUCUGCCCGCCUCGGCCUCCCAAAGUGCUGGGAUUACAGGCGUGAGCCACUGUGCCCGGCCAGGGGCCCGGACUUCUGAUUGCGUUUGUGUGAGGUGAAGACCCCGACGCAGACUCUUCUUUUCAAGCUGCCAAGCAUAAGAAUGGAUUUUUCAGCCACAUAGGAAUUGUGUUGGUCGCACUAAUUGGACCUCAAAUAGCAUUUAAACACAUUCCAAAUUGGAAACCUCAUCUUCUCAAUUAAAUAAAAUUGCGUUUGUCCUAAUUUGAAUUCUUACAACUGAACAGUGAAAAAUACCUUUCCAAGUUUUAGUAAGAACACUCCUGGGCUUGAGAGGUAACAAGCAACCCCUUCCGCAGAGAGUGGCAGGAGAGGCCUUUCCUGCAUCCGGCACAGGCGCGGCGGUCUCCCCCCAUCCGGCACAGGCGCGGCGGUCUCCCCCUUCUCCGGCACAGGCGCGGCGGUCUCCCCCUUCUCCGGCACAGGCGCGGCGGUCUCCCCCUUCUCCGGCACAGGCGCGGCGGUCUCCCCCCAUCCGGCACAGGCGCGGCGGUCUCCCCCCAUCCGGCACAGGCGCGGCGGUCUCCCCCUUCUCCGGCACAGGCGCGGCGGUCUCCCUCCAUCCGGCACAGGCGCGGCGGUCUCCCUCUUCUCCGGCACAGGCGCGGCGGUCUCCCUCCAUCCGGCACAGGCGCGGCGGUCUCCCUCCAUCCGGCACAGGCGCGGCGGUCUCCCUCUUCUCCGGCACAGGCGCGGCGGUCUCCCUCCAUCCGGCACAGGCGCGGCGGUCUCCCUCCAUCCGGCACAGGCGUGGCGGUCUUCCCCAUCCGGCACAGAAACAGCAGCUCCUGAGUGCUCUGGCAGCCAUGGAGUCUCCUAUACAGUCCAAGAUGCUGCCUCCAUGGCCUCGGCUGGUCCCGGGGGUGAGGAAUGCCACAGGCUGUUACUCCAUUCCCCAAGCCUAACGUUCAGGCUCUGCAGCUGCAAGUCACUGGGGCCACUUCCCCAAAUCCCAGACACCCAGGAGUCCUAUGUGGCAGGCACUCCUUGUUUUAAAUUCUGGGAACAUCGGCUGUCGCCAUACAUUUAAUAUAGUGAUUAAAUAACAGGAGGACCUGAAGUAUCUUGGAAGGAAAACCUUCAUUGUUUGCAGGAACAGGCGAUCCUCUGAAAAUGCCUAUUCACAAAUGCACUUUAUUAAAAAACACAAACACACAUGCAGACUGAAAACGAGAGAACCACGGCCCCUGCUACAGCGAACACUGCCACGGAAUGGUGUCUGCGGAAGACCAAUAUCAUAAGGUGGAAAAAUAAAGGAAAUAAAAGAGCAAAUAAGAGGAAACGACAGCUCUCCUAAAAGCUGAUUUCAUGCCAUGUAUCUCUGGUAUAAUGGCGCGUGUUAGAGCUAAAAUUGAGGGCUUCAAAAACUGUUACCUGAGUUCUGAGUUUAAUCAUAUCGGCUUCCAUCUGGGAAUUGGAUUCAUUUAGCUCCUUGAUUUCUUCAUCUAACUGUUUGAUUUCUUCAUCAUUUUCUAUACCUGUAAUAAUGAAUAUUAGUAUGUUAAAACUGUUAUAUACAAAAAUAUUAGAGUUAGAAUUUUGGGAGCUUUCUUUGUUCCUUUUAUAUUCGUAAUUGAAUUUGCUUGGAAAAUAGACUCUUGAAUUAGAAAGGAAAAAAUCAUCACAAUCUCUGUGUCUUUCUAUUCCCUACCACCGCCCCUUCCCCACCUAAGUUCCCCUACAAAAAGGAACAAACAAUUGAGACGCACAGAAGACUCCCAGGCACUUUGAGGGUCGAGCUCCCAGGGACAGUUAACCUGGGUCUUAGAUGUAUCGAGGCAGAAACCACCUGGUCCUGAGUGCCGAUUUGCUGAGCCUGGCCUGUUUUCUCCUGCUUUUGUUCUCUCUCUCGACUCGCUGUCUGCAUCAGUCAUUCUGCAAACACCCCAGGCUUGGAGCCAGGCUCUGCAGGUACGUUCACCAACAAGGCCAGGUCCUCCCGCCCUCACUCAGGUCAGGUUCUGGGUCGGAAAAUGGGCAACAGACGUGUAACGACAAAUGCCGUCCAGCAAACGCUGAGGAUGACCUCACCUUACCCACCGACAGGAAGCUGUGGGAAGUGGGAGAGGGACAUGGGGGCUGGCCGGAGGGAGAUGGCCACAAAAGGGCUCUCUGAAUAUUCGACAUUUAGCAAAUAAAAAAUCUCAUUCUGAAUGAUUAAAAAGUAUGCACUAACUAACAGAAUUCCCAAUUUGUAAACUCUGCCAGAAUGAUGACCUCGGCCAGGUGUGUACCUGACCAUCUGAGUGUCCCUGGUGGGUGACUGCUGCCCUGCCGAGGUCCCUGGGGCACCUGGAUCAGUCCUGGCAUAGCUGGGCACAGGGCCCAGAUGCCCAUAUUUACAAAGGCCAUUCUGGACACUUGCUUCCCUGGCCGGCUGUGUCUGGUUACUGGCAACAUUACACUGCCAACGCCAAAGAGAAGGAGAUUCCUCUCUAUUUGUGACCACUUGACCUCACACAAUUGGGUGUACACAGAAGGAGAGCAGGAGUUUGGCAAACACAAUCACCCUAGAAAAUUCAGGAUUUGAGAUUGCUGUUCUCAUUGGCCACACAGCACCACAAUGGAUCUUUACUCAAAACUAAUGGAAAAUGUAUCCAGGCCUCCUAGGACUCCCAGUGGGUAGAUGCUGUUUUCAAGCUUUGCAGACAGAAGGGCAGAAGGGGUACAAUCAACCAGAGGCCGAGGCCUGAGAGCACCCCAAAAACCCUGCUGACAUCAGCAGAACAGAGGUGGAGGCUCCUCUCUACCAAGACGUUAGAAAGAUGAGAGUAAGAGAAAGUGAUGGAUCAGUGGGAUUGGGCCUUAGAUGCGGCUUUUAGUGAAACGAAAAAAAAGUUAUACCCUCAAGAUAAAAAUACCCAAUGCAAAAAAUCCCAAUUCAUAAAGCAACUAAAUUAUGAACGAACGUAUCAUUUCAGAAGCAUUCCCCACAAGCUUCUGUUAAACUGCAAGCAUCCAAAUGCCUUUAGAACACCUCCAUGUGAAGGAGGCCCUCAGAACACUGGACGUGGUGAAGCUUCGACCCUCUACAGCUGUCACAGGCAAAUUUCUCAAGCACAUUCCUAGGAAUCCCAUCUCGCAGAGGCCUUUCAAAAACCUUGGACUGGGAUGCUUAGUUUGAAGAAUUCAUGAUAAAUGUCAAACUAACUGGCCUAUCAGGCUUUGUUAUCUAAUUGAUCUGCCAGAUCAGGUCAACUGUUCUGACAGAAGUCAGUGUCAUUUUAAAUCCAAAUAAAAGUCUUGAUACGGGUCCCAUGACAACCUUUCAUCUCUAAUUUUGUUCUGGGAGUGAUGGAUGGGUGGAUAUUACUUCCAUAGCUCUGCUCUGUCCUGGGGGACCACCCUCAGGCCCAAGUGGUCACCAACAGCCCUUUGUGGGAGCCUGGGAACGUCUCAGUCCUGGGGCUGCCCACUGCGGCUCUGUGCAGCAUGCCAUUCCUUUGUAAGGGGGAGGAGGGAGACAGGGAAACGGUGCCAGGAAGAACCGGCAGGUCACAGAGCAUUCCC